rnacentral:rRNA from 1 species
CAGUUUUGGCGGAGCCAUCCUUGGGAUACCACCCUUGUAGUACUGGGACUCUAACCAUAGGCCAUGAAUCUGGUCUUGGGACACUGUCAGGUGGGCAGUUUGACUGGGGCGGUCGCCUCCCAAAAGGUAACGGAGGCGCUCAAAGGUUCUCUCAGUACGGUCGGAAAUCGUACGUAGAGUGUAAAGGCAAAAGAGAGCUUGAUUGCAAGACAUACAGGGCGAGCAAGGAUGAAAAUCGGACUUAGUGAUCCGGUGGUUCUGCGUGGAAGGGCCAUCGCUCAACGGAUAAAAGCUACCCUGGGGAUAACAGGCUUAUCUCCCCCAAGAGUCCACAUCGACGGGGCGGUUUGGCACCUCGAUGUCGGCUCAUCACAUCCUGGGGCUGUAGUAGGUCCC